UGAGGAAUAUUGGACAAUGGAGGCAACUCUGAUCCAGCCAUGCCGCGUGAAGGAAUAAGGCCCUAUGGGUUGUAAACUUCUUUUAGACGGGAUAAAACCCCUUUACGUGUAAAGGGUUGAUGGUACUGUCAGAAUAAGCAUCGGCUAACUUCGUGCCAGCAGCCGCGGUAAUACGAAGGAUGCAAGCGUUAUCCGGAAUUAUUGGGUUUAAAGGGUGCGUAGGCGGACUAAUAAGUCAGUGGUGAAAGCCUGCAGCUUAACUGCAGAAUUGCCAUUGAUACUGUUAGUCUUGAGUACAGUUGAGGUAGGCGGAAUGUGUCAUGUAGCGGUGAAAUGCUUAGAUAUGACACAGAGCACCGAUUGCGAAGGCAGCUUGCUAAGCUGUAACUGACGCUGAGGCACGAAAGCGUGGGGAGCAAACA
rnacentral:rRNA from 1 species